UAGUCAUUGCGAAUUUGACUGCCGGCUUAAUGAGCUUAGCGAAAAUUUUUUUUUGUUUCGUUUUUUUUCUUUCAACUGUGACAUUGGCAAAAUCAUCAGUUCUCAUAUUGAUGGAGCCAUAAAAAUAAAAAGUGAAGUGAAGUGAUUGGAUAUUAACACCAUGGAUCGCUAUUUGAAUUGUGGUAUAGCGACUAGCCCUUGUAAUGUUCUAGGUCGACGAGUCUUACUGUCUGAACUGAACAAUAUUGUCGUUAAUUUGUCAAUGGCUUGCACCACUAUUUGUGAACAGCAGUGACCAUGUUUGCCAAGCUUGCUGGGACUUGCCUCAAAAACCAACUGUUGAUGCACUGAGACAAUUUUACAACAUUUACUACAAACACUUGUCUCUGCUGUGGGCUCUCUCUUGUGUCAUAAGUCAGCUGUAACCACACACAAUUCUUCUUCACAUGGACUCAUCUCGACAAUAUAUCUCGAUAAUUUGUAAUGGUAUAAAAUAACAUAUUAUGCCUUAAACUGUAGAGGUAGCAAGUCGUACUUGUUGGGUGGCUGCUGAUAGAGCUGCUGACCAUGUAGUCUUAGGCUCAUUCAAAGGCACAAGAUCUUCCCACUGAGCCUCCAAAUAAAAAAUUUUGAAACAACCAACCUAAACCUACUACUGUGUAAUACCAGACUUCUAUGAGAGCCAUGGAAACAGAAAGUUGAUGCUUUAUUGAAGGAUGCCAUAGAACACAGAUACAGAGUUUCACUUUCUGCUAGAAGAAUGUUGUUCAGUCAGUAUACAUAAAUAUUAUAUCCCUGGGAAUAAUCAUGUUUAUGAUUGACAUUUGAUUAUUGAAGCAUAGAUCUAGACAAGUACAGAAUUCCACUGCAAAGCAUAUCCAGGACGUGAUGUUGCUGUAAGAUGUUCUAGGUCUAGGGUUACUGCAUCUUGAGAAAAUAGAUUAUAUGGAAGACCUAGGCGCAUAUACAUGGAUUGGCUUGUAUAGUCUCAUCAACUGCGCAAUGAUGAUUCUUAGUUAUUGAAAUCAAGAG